CACGCGUGUGCCAGGGAGGAGGAUGCCACCACGCUCUUUGAAGAUGUGCGGAGUUGUCGUGCCUGAACGGUCACCGUAGCUGCCUUCGAGGAGGAUUUGUGCCUGCAUCUUAAUGUUCGCCAAGCCCAUUACAUCGCUGGUGCGGGACACACAACAAAACAAAUCUGAACCUCGGCGACAUAUUUGCUAGGAGAGAAGGAGGAUAAAAAGUGCAGGUCCUCUUCACAGGAUAGACCUUUUAUGUGUCAUGUCGACAAGGGUGUCUUUGAUAAGAUAUCCAAGCAGGCUGCAUGUGAGGUGAAUCAAGAGGAGAAGCCAAGUAGCAGCAAUCAUGCAGCUGUGUCAUGCAAACAAACUGAGACUGCAGAAAGUCACUGAUUGUACAAAACCAGAAAAACAAAUUGCAGCGCAAGCAUGCAAAGAGGGAAUUGCGCAAAUCAAACACAUAUUCAAGUAAUAAGUCAGUGAGAGGCUUUAUAUUAGGAGGUGUACUGCAACAAGGUGCCUCCCUCCAUCAUCAUUCCAUUCUUCUCCUGUUCCCUAUCUGUCAGCUGCACCUACAACCGGUGCCCCACUCUAGCUCGACAAUUGACAAUGGCUACGUACAUCUGUUGUGGUCGGCAGCGAGGCAAGCCCUCCUUUUAAACCAUGUAUGUUGAUUUCAAAUAGUAGAACUAAUUCAUACUUUGAAGUAAUCAGGCUUCCAUGGACGUUGAUUUCCAUUAAACAGUAUUUUGCGAACUUCUUGUUCUCUGCAAAUUUUGGAUGCCACCGGUCAGUGUGACGCCCAAACCUUUGAGUGGCGUGUAUGGACUUUGGAUUGUUUACACUUUACAGCCUGGUGGCAAGUCUUUUUCUAAUUGAGACAGUUAUUUAGGUGCUAAAUCAAACAACAUGUCUAUAGGUUCGUUGAAAUUCCCUAGACGAGUUACUUUCUGAAUUCUGACUCUGAGUAGCCGACUCAUACUUAUUUUUGCGCCUUUAGUUGAUUUGCUUUAGUGUGUUUGGUCUUUCUAUUCAGGAUCCCAGUCUGGAAAACUAGAUGGUGUACGGAUUCAGAGAUGAACAUGACGAACGAUAGAAGGUCGAUUUGGAUUAUUCUUGGUCCAUAACUAUCAAUUAUUCCACUGCCACACAACUGUGUUUGUGCUGGCAGGGAGAGAAGGAGAAGUAAGGUGUUGUGGGCAGGGACUGGCUGUGGGUACAAGUAAGAAGGCCAGAUAUGAGAUGGGGGAAAGGAUGCAUGCAGGAGAAGAGAACAGACUGCAACGAAAGGCAGUUUGAGAUGUAGCAGUGGACGCCUCUUCCAUGAUUUUCAGCACUCUGCGUGUUCAAUGAUGCCGCACACGUCCUCUCAUCCCGUCACCAACGGCCUGGAUGUGGCAGCUGCCGUCAACAUCCCAACUGUCACCAGCACCACAUGUUGAAUGACAUUGGCAUCGUGUCACCGGGGCAGCAGCUCAACACCAGCAUUAUUCUGACAAGGAGCGAGAAAACUGUUGAUUUUGCGAAGAACAAUUGUCACUGUAUUGCUUUCAAGGCGGAUGUUCCAUAGACAAACAAGUAUGCAAUCAACACUGCAUGAUUUCAACUGGUUUCCAAUCAUGGAAAGAAGGAACGACAUGAGCUAAAAGAUGCAGAAAAAGAGGAUUAGGCCCGCAGAUUGUUGUCAAGGAGAACAUUGAGCUAUGAGGGUGUUUUUUUGGGCAACACCGGCGAUGGUCUCAGCAGCUAAAUGAUGGUGAACUGUAGCUGUUGUAAUAUUGUGAGAAAUAUAUUAUGAUUAAUUUUAACUUACCUAUCC